rnacentral:tRNA from 1 species
AUUCUAUUAGUAUAAAAAUUACAAUUAGUUUCCACCUAAAAGAUCUUAUGAUAGAAUA